CUCUGGCCCUGUAUCGUAAAGCAAAUAUAUAAAAGUAAAAGCUAGUGAAGCAAGGGUUUUGGAUGCAAGCAGUGUGGCCCUGCUCAGUUAUUUAGGUUUUUGAGAUAUGGUUGACCGAUUUCUGCAAGUUAUUUCAACUGUCUUACAACAGCGACUCCUGCAGAGAAUUCUCCUGACCCUCCUCAUACAUUCUUCUGCAAUGGUAGUCACAAUUCACAUUAAAAAUAUAAA